ACAAUGACUUCCAGCUGGAGCGGCCCAGCCAGCCCGCGCGUUCGCUGCUCGCGCUGGGCUUAAGAGCGCGGGGCUGCGUUCUGGAUUAAGUCCACAAGUGAGAGCUGAGGGCAGUGCUCCCAUGGAUAGGCUAAAUCUGCAUUGUUGAAGCACUCAUCUGUAGGAUGAAUGAGCCCUGAAGGAUUUGAGGACCCACAGAAUAUCUGUAGAAGUUGACAGAGGGACUGAUCCUCAUGGAGUAGUAAUGAGUCAGCCAGCUUGCCGAGAGGUAGAAGUAUCCUUGGUAGA